AGCGAACGCUGGCGGCAGGCCUAACACAUGCAAGUCGAACGAACUCUUCGGAGUUAGUGGCGGACGGGUGAGUAACACGUGGGAACGUGCCUUUUGGUUCGGAAUAACUCAGGGAAACUUGUGCUAAUACCGAAUGUGCCCUUCGGGGGAAAGAUUUAUCGCCAUUAGAGCGGCCCGCGUCUGAUUAGCUAGUUGGUGAGGUAACGGCUCACCAAGGCGACGAUCAGUAGCUGGUCUGAGAGGAUGACCAGCCACACUGGGACUGAGACACGGCCCAGACUCCUACGGGAGGCAGCAGUGGGGAAUCUUGCGCAAUGGGCGAAAGCCUGACGCAGCCAUGCCGCGUGAAUGAUGAAGGUCGUAGGAUUGUAAAAUUCUUUCACCGGGGACGACAAUGACGGUACCCGGAGAAGAAGCCCCGGCUAACUUCGUG
rnacentral:rRNA from 1 species